AGCAAAUGAUGUGAACGAAUAUUUGCUAUCUGACUUCUGGUGCUGACAAGCAUAUCCACCAAGAUCGCUGAUGCU
rnacentral:snoRNA from 1 species